UUAAGCGACUAAGCGUACACGGUGGAUGCCCUGGCAGUCAGAGGCGAUGAAGGACGUGCUAAUCUGCGAUAAGCGUCGGUAAGGUGAUAUGAACCGUUAUAACCGGCGAUUUCCGAAUGGGGAAACCCAGUGUGAUUCGUCACACUAUCAUUAACUGAAUCCAUAGGUUAAUGAGGCGAACCGGGGGAACUGAAACAUCUAAGUACCCCGAGGAAAAGAAAUCAACCGAGAUUCCCCCAGUAGCGGCGAGCGAACGGGGAGCAGCCCAGAGCCUGAAUCAGUGUGUGUGUUAGUGGAAGCGUCUGGAAAGGCGUGCGAUACAGGGUGACAGCCCCGUACACAAAAAUGCACAUACUGUGAGCUCGAUGAGUAGGGCGGGACACGUGGUAUCCUGUCUGAAUAUGGGGGGACCAUCCUCCAAGGCUAAAUACUCCUGACUGACCGAUAGUGAACCAGUACCGUGAGGGAAAGGCGAAAAGAACCCCGGCGAGGGGAGUGAAAAAGAACCUGAAACCGUGUACGUACAAGCAGUGGGAGCACGCUUAGGCGUGUGACUGCGUACCUUUUGUAUAAUGGGUCAGCGACUUAUAUUCUGUAGCAAGGUUAACCGAAUAGGGGAGCCGAAGGGAAACCGAGUCUUAACUGGGCGUUAAGUUGCAGGGUAUAGACCCGAAACCCGGUGAUCUAGCCAUGGGCAGGUUGAAGGUUGGGUAACACUAACUGGAGGACCGAACCGACUAAUGUUGAAAAAUUAGCGGAUGACUUGUGGCUGGGGGUGAAAGGCCAAUCAAACCGGGAGAUAGCUGGUUCUCCCCGAAAGCUAUUUAGGUAGCGCCUCGUGAAUUCAUCUCCGGGGGUAGAGCACUGUUUCGGCAAGGGGGUCAUCCCGACUUACCAACCCGAUGCAAACUGCGAAUACCGGAGAAUGUUAUCACGGGAGACACACGGCGGGUGCUAACGUCCGUCGUGAAGAGGGAAACAACCCAGACCGCCAGCUAAGGUCCCAAAGUCAUGGUUAAGUGGGAAACGAUGUGGGAAGGCCCAGACAGCCAGGAUGUUGGCUUAGAAGCAGCCAUCAUUUAAAGAAAGCGUAAUAGCUCACUGGUCGAGUCGGCCUGCGCGGAAGAUGUAACGGGGCUAAACCAUGCACCGAAGCUGCGGCAGCGACGCUUAUGCGUUGUUGGGUAGGGGAGCGUUCUGUAAGCCUGCGAAGGUGUGCUGUGAGGCAUGCUGGAGGUAUCAGAAGUGCGAAUGCUGACAUAAGUAACGAUAAAGCGGGUGAAAAGCCCGCUCGCCGGAAGACCAAGGGUUCCUGUCCAACGUUAAUCGGGGCAGGGUGAGUCGACCCCUAAGGCGAGGCCGAAAGGCGUAGUCGAUGGGAAACAGGUUAAUAUUCCUGUACUUGGUGUUACUGCGAAGGGGGGACGGAGAAGGCUAUGUUGGCCGGGCGACGGUUGUCCCGGUUUAAGCGUGUAGGCUGGUUUUCCAGGCAAAUCCGGAAAACUAAGGCUGAGGCGUGAUGACGAGGCACUACGGUGCUGAAGCAACAAAUGCCCUGCUUCCAGGAAAAGCCUCUAAGCAUCAGGUAACAUCAAAUCGUACCCCAAACCGACACAGGUGGUCAGGUAGAGAAUACCAAGGCGCUUGAGAGAACUCGGGUGAAGGAACUAGGCAAAAUGGUGCCGUAACUUCGGGAGAAGGCACGCUGAUAUGUAGGUGAAGCGACUUGCUCGUGGAGCUGAAAUCAGUCGAAGAUACCAGCUGGCUGCAACUGUUUAUUAAAAACACAGCACUGUGCAAACACGAAAGUGGACGUAUACGGUGUGACGCCUGCCCGGUGCCGGAAGGUUAAUUGAUGGGGUUAGCGCAAGCGAAGCUCUUGAUCGAAGCCCCGGUAAACGGCGGCCGUAACUAUAACGGUCCUAAGGUAGCGAAAUUCCUUGUCGGGUAAGUUCCGACCUGCACGAAUGGCGUAAUGAUGGCCAGGCUGUCUCCACCCGAGACUCAGUGAAAUUGAACUCGCUGUGAAGAUGCAGUGUACCCGCGGCAAGACGGAAAGACCCCGUGAACCUUUACUAUAGCUUGACACUGAACAUUGAGCCUUGAUGUGUAGGAUAGGUGGGAGGCUUUGAAGUGUGGACGCCAGUCUGCAUGGAGCCGACCUUGAAAUACCACCCUUUAAUGUUUGAUGUUCUAACGUUGACCCGUAAUCCGGGUUGCGGACAGUGUCUGGUGGGUAGUUUGACUGGGGCGGUCUCCUCCUAAAGAGUAACGGAGGAGCACGAAGGUUGGCUAAUCCUGGUCGGACAUCAGGAGGUUAGUGCAAUGGCAUAAGCCAGCUUGACUGCGAGCGUGACGGCGCGAGCAGGUGCGAAAGCAGGUCAUAGUGAUCCGGUGGUUCUGAAUGGAAGGGCCAUCGCUCAACGGAUAAAAGGUACUCCGGGGAUAACAGGCUGAUACCGCCCAAGAGUUCAUAUCGACGGCGGUGUUUGGCACCUCGAUGUCGGCUCAUCACAUCCUGGGGCUGAAGUAGGUCCCAAGGGUAUGGCUGUUCGCCAUUUAAAGUGGUACGCGAGCUGGGUUUAGAACGUCGUGAGACAGUUCGGUCCCUAUCUGCCGUGGGCGCUGGAGAACUGAGGGGGGCUGCUCCUAGUACGAGAGGACCGGAGUGGACGCAUCACUGGUGUUCGGGUUGUCAUGCCAAUGGCACUGCCCGGUAGCUAAAUGCGGAAGAGAUAAGUGCUGAAAGCAUCUAAGCACGAAACUUGCCCCGAGAUGAGUUCUCCCUGACUCCUUGAGAGUCCUGAAGGAACGUUGAAGACGACGACGUUGAUAGGCCGGGUGUGUAAGCGCAGCGAUGCGUUGAGCUAACCGGUACUAAUGAACCGUGAGGCUUAACCUU
rnacentral:rRNA from 1 species